GCCUUGAUCUCCUGCAGGUAUGAAAAAUAUUAUUUUUCAAAUGGUCAGAAGAAACAAUUAUUCAUUUUUUUCACCCAGUCUUUUCAAUAUAUUUUCCCCCUCGAUUCAGAUUCAAAACAGUCAGAGGGGCUUCUUGACAAAAGCAUCCACUGGGUAAAAGGACCCGGGAUGCUAACAAGCUACUAGAAUGAGAUGAUUUAUACACAGCACCCCUGUACUGGAAACAUGGUCCAGCACAUGUGAGAAGAUGGUUCCAUUGCUGAGCUCCACUUGGGGUGACAUCACAGAGAGAAGCUCCCCAAAGGACUUCUCAUGAGGAUCCUAUGGCUUCUUGCCACUUCCAUGGUGGACUCAGGCUGGUUGGUGAGCCUUGCAGUUUCUUCUGGAUUGAACUGCCCUUGCUGAUUUUUGUGUGGUAUCUGCUGAGUGAACUGGUCUGCAGCUGCUGAUUUAUGAGUGGUGACUGCCGAAUGAACUGGACUGCCACUGCUCAUUUAUGUUGGUGUUUUGCUAGAGGACUGGAUUGCUGAUACACUGACAAUGAAGAUCGGACUCACCCCCAAGGAACUAUUUCUUAACAGGUCUACUUAUCCAUGUCCUGAUAACUUUUCUUUUCUGCUACCUCUGGUGGGUAGCGAGCUCAAGGAGAGGUUGAAUCCUUAUUAAAGUAGGUUGAGAGAAAUUUAUGUCUACAUGUAUGUGAGAAAGAGUAAGAGUGAGAGAGAAAGGUAAAAGGAAAGGAAGAGGGAGAAGAAGGAGGGAGUGAGAGCGGGAGGGAGGAGGGGGGAGAGCAUCACAUGUGCAUGUGCUCAUGGCCUAAGAAUGCUUUGGAUCGCCUGGAGCUGUAGGUUGUUGUAAGUGCUAAGAACCAAACUCAAGUCCUCUGGUAGAGCAGCAAGCACUUUUAACCACUGAGCUAUCUCUAUAGCCCCUAUCCUGCCUUUUAAAAGACCAGAUAAUCUAGACUUGAUUCUUUGCUACUUGUCCCCUGUGGUACUUCAAGUACCUUCCUAUUAAACUAUCAAGAAAUCUCUGAAUGCUAGGCUGAAAGAUAUAGCUCAGUGAUAGAGUGAAGUGGAAACUUCUGGUUUCUUUGAAAAGUCAGUUAUGUCAAAUGAUAUUUGCUGGGGCACACAGGUGAAAGGGCGUGUGGUAUUUAGAAGGAAUAUAACCCAACAGACAGUGGACAAUGCUGGAUGAUAUUGGUACGCCUUGCCAUUCAUUGUUUAUUGGUCAUCAUUUGUCAUGACUCCACAGAGAGAAAAGCACCCAAAAACUUCUGGUGGUGUUCUGGCAGCUUCUUGCCACUUCUGUGGACUCAUGGCUGAUUGGCAGAGUGAAGUGGAAGUUUCUGAAUAUGUCAGCUAAUACAGACUCACGUGGUAUUUUUCUGAGGCAAGACCCAUUGGAGGUUUGGAGGGAGUAUAAAUAGGACUCAAGGAACAGUGAGGGUGGGCUUGCACAACUAACUUUCCAGUGCUUUGUUGUCUUUUGUCUUCUUCUUUGCGGAUCUUCCCCUUCCUUAAGAGAGGCACUGCAGAGAACUGCUGGUUCUGAUCACUCCUGCUGACUCCUGCUGAUUUGGUGGUAGCCUGGCGGUUUCUUCUACAUUGUGCCAGUACUGCUGAUUCCUGUUUGCUAUCCUGACACUACUGAACUAGACUGCUAGUAUCCUGACAAUUGGAGAUUGAAAUUGCCCCAAGGAACUUCUUCUCAAUAGCAUACAGCAGAGUCUUGCAGCUUUUCCUGGCUCUACCUGCUGUUUCUGAAUUGUGAAUGGUGUUUGAGAGUGGAUGGAGCUGCCGCUGCUGAUUUGUGUGAACUGAGCUGCUGAUAUCCUGACAACACAGAUUGGAUUUGCUCCAAAAAACAAUUUGAAAACAGCUGCCAUGAAGGAAGCUCUGUCCCAUGAUACACUGGGCCACCACCCGUUCAAAAUCAACAAGGUCAACUGAUCACCAAUGGACUCC